rnacentral:rRNA from 1 species
UACAGAGGGUGCGAGCGUUGUUCGGAAUUAUUGGGCGUAAAGCGCUUGUAGGCGGCACGUCAAGUCGCGUGUGAAAUCCCCAGGCUUAACCUGGGAAGUGCGCGCGAAACUGACGAGCUUGAGUGCCGGAGAGGGUCGCGGAAUUCCAGGUGUAGCGGUGAAAUGCGUAGAUAUCUGGAGGAACACCGGUGGCGAAGGCGGCAUCCUGGACCAAUUCUGACGCUGAGUGAGCGAAAGCCAGGGGAGCAAACGGG